UAAGAAAUUUAAGGAUUUGCCUAUUGAAGU
rnacentral:piRNA from 1 species